ACACACACACACACAACACACACAAACACACAUGCACAGACACACACUCAAACACACACAUGCACAUACAUUCAAACACAGAAAAACGCACAUAAUAUACACUAACUAUUAGUGUGUGUCUGUUUGUGGUGCGGAGGGGGUUGUGCGCGCCUCAGAGAGGCAGUAUGGUGGGGGGUUGGCCUCAGUCAUGCCCCCCCAUAAGCAGUGACAACACCACUGUGUUGAGAUGUCCCAUGAGAGAGCGAGAGAGAGAGAGAGAGAGAGAGAGAGAGAGAGAGAGAGAGAGAAAAUAAGAGAUGGAUAAAGCGAGAGUUAGUAUGGGUAGUGGGUAAUGUGUGUGUGUGUGUGUGUGUGUGUGUGUGUGUGUGUGUGUGUGUGUGUGUGUGUGUGUGUGUGUGUGUGUGUGUGUGUGUGUGUGUGUGUGUGUAUGUGUCAGUGUGUGUGUGUGUGUAUGCAGAGUGCACAGGGAGGGAUUGUUAUAGUCAAUGUCUCCCGUAGGCAUAAACAUGCGAAGAAUCAAAGAAAGACACAAAUAAAUGCAGACAAAUACACUCACACACACAAACAAAGCACACAUAUUCCCGUUAGCCUAGUACAGAUGUUACAGGGGGUGUGGUGAGAGGGGGCGGAGUUCCAUGGGGAAAGCCAACCGAUCAUCAACAGUGUAAUAGUCAUGCCGACGCCUGUAGGAUAAAUUCCAGAAGUCACGGCAAGGUCACUGGCUUUCCCAGCCAGAGGACAGUGUGUGUCUGUGUGUGUGUGUGUGUGUGUGUGUGUGUGUGUGUGUGUGUACUGGUGUGUGUGUGUGUGUGAUACACUGAGAAACACCAUGCUAGGUAUGGCAUGUGCUGUUGCCAUGGAGACGAGUCUGUAGAACUGUUUGUUUAUGACAGCAUGUAGAGUGGCACACGUCAAGACGUUGUUACCGCUCAACACCAACUGUGGAUUGUCCAAUCACAACGCAGCAUUCUUUCUGUGGGGCCACAGCUUUCCAGGAGUA
ensembl:lncRNA